UGUCUUCGACUUGGCUGUUUUCCUUUAGUGAGUCAGAGCUAGUGUUACUGCUUUUCAUUGCUUGAACAGGCUCCACAGGCCCAUGACACCUCUCUUAAGAGUUUUAAGAGUUGUUGCUCAUGUGAUGGGGAUCAUCUGGCAACUCUGCUUAAUGUUACUGAGGCAGACAGGACCUCUUCCUGCCUGAAAUACUGGAAGAUGACAAUAAGAUUUAUGUUCAGAUCAUCUCAGUCCUGUGUGCAUGUGGGAUGUUUAGACAGUGAAGCUGUUCAGAAGUGACUGUCAGAGGAGCAAAAAGUGAUUCAACAGCAUAUGAAGUGCUGGAUACAUCCCACAUCAUUGGUAAUGUAUGAUCUGUAUUUGAAAAAUAUAACCAAGACGGAAUAUUUACAUGUUUAAUUUUUUUUUUUUCCUGGAUGACUGACUAUAAUUUGACUAUAAUAUCAGACUGAGUUUGCUCUGCGUUAGGGUAUUUGGAUCACUUUUAGUUUACCAGGGCCUGAAAUACACAUACAGAAAUUCAUGAUGGAAGUGUUUGUUUUGGAGAUUCUGAUUUAAUUUAACUCUUGUGGAAACUAAAGGCUGUAGCUGACUUCACUGGGACUUGAACAGAGCAGGUAAGCAUGUUUUUUCCCCAUAGUGUUGCUUUAGGUUUCUGUCUCCUAUGUAUUUAGAAAGGCUUCAGAUGUUCCUUUAGUAUGUAACUAUAGGACUGGGUAACGUGUUUCUAAGAUGCUGAGACACAGUUACAGAAUAUAAUCUAUCGUUUAAAUAUCCAAAUACAAAACUAAGGAUUUGCCUUAGGUGAUCAGUGUUGCAGAGUUGUUAAUUAACCUGCACUUAGAUUGCAUCUGUGAUUCAGUCUGAGCUAAAAACUAGAGUCUUCUAUGUCAGUUCUGCAUUGACUUGUGAGUUCAUGCUGUCUGCUUAGGCACCUGAUUAUCUUCUGACCUGAGGUGUCCACAUUUCCUGUCUAGUCAGUGGAAGGAGUUGAAAGCCUUGGGGGCAUGAAUCACAGCAUUGUAGUGUUUCACAAAAUAGUAAUGCAGUAAGCAGUAGUAAUUCAGUAAGCAGUAUUAAAAAGCAUGAGCAGAAAUAGUUUUUAUGUGAGUUGGGAGUAAGGCAGUAUGGUUUUGUGACUACUGUGUUGGCUGAAGGUAGCUGUGUCUGUUGGCUUCCACCUCACUUACACAUCUUGACAUGCCACUGUCCCUGCAUGCCCCGGUUUGCCAAGGUCAUACAGAAUUGUGGAUGGCUCUUGUCCCCAGCCCAGGAAAUC
rnacentral:lncRNA from 1 species